rnacentral:rRNA from 1 species
UACAGAGGGUGCGAGCGUUAAUCGGAAUCACUGGGCGUAAAGCGCACGUAGGCGGCUUUGUAAGUUAGAGGUGAAAGCCCGGGGCUCAACUCCGGAAUUGCCUUUAAGACUGCAUCGCUAGAAUUGUGGAGAGGUAAGUGGAAUUCCGAGUGUAGAGGUGAAAUUCGUAGAUAUUCGGAAGAACACCAGUGGCGAAGGCGACUUACUGGACACAUAUUGACGCUGAGGUGCGAAAGCGUGGGGAGCAAACAGG